rnacentral:rRNA from 1 species
UCUACCAUGCAGUCGAGGGGCAGCACAUGAAGUAGCAAUACGGAUGGUGGCGACCGGCGCACGGGUGAGUAACGCGUAUGCAACCUGCCUACAACAAGGGAAUAACCCGUUGAAAGACGGACUAAUACCCUAUAAUACAGGGGUCCCGCAUGGGAAUAUUUGUUAAAGAUUUAUCGGUUGUAGAUGGGCAUGCGUUCCAUUAGCUAGUUGGUGAGGUAAGGGCUCACCAAGGCAACGAUAGAUAGGGGAACUGAGAGGUUUAUCCCCCACACUGGUACUGAGACACGGACCAGACUCCUACGGGAGGCAGCAGUGAGGAAUAUUGGUCAAUGGGCGCAAGCCUGAACCAGCCACGUCGCGUGAGGGAAGACGGCCCUACGGGUUGUAAACUUCUUUUGUAAGGGAAUAAAGUGUAGUACGUGUACUAUUUUGCAUGUACCUUACGAAUAAGGAUCGGCUAACUCCGUGCCAGCAGCCGCGGUAAUACGGAGGAUCCGAGCGUUAUCCGGAUUUAUUGGGUUUAAAGGGUGCGCACGCGGGAGAUUAAGUCGGCGGUGAAAUUUUGCAGCUCAACUGUAAAAGUGCCUUCGAAACUGGUUUUCUUGAGUGUGGAUGAAGUAGGCGGAAUUUGUGUGUAGCGGUGAAAUGCAUAGAUAUCACGAGGAACUCCGAUUGCGCAGCAGCUUACUAAGCCAUAACUGACGCUCAGGCACGAAGGCGUGGGGAUCAAACAGGAUUAGAUACCCUGGUAGUCCACG